rnacentral:rRNA from 1 species
CCUACGGGAGGCAGCAGUAGGGAAUCUUGGGCAAUGGGGGGAACCCUGACCGAGCAACGCCGCGUGAACGAAGAAGUUAUUCGUAAUGUAAAGUUCUUUCAACAGGGAAGAACGAGAAAUUUGACGGUAAGUGAAGAAUAAGCUCUGGCUACCUACGUGCCAGCAGCCGCGGUAAUACGUAGGGAGCGAGGUUUAUCGGGAAUUAUUGGGCGAAAAGGGUACGUGGAGGGAAUAGUAGGUAUUUUGGAAAAAUGCUGGGUCAAAGCCAGUAGGGCAAAAGAUACUGCAAAACUAGAGUGUGAGAGAGGCAAGUGGAACUACAGGUGUAGGGGUAAAAUGCGUAGAUAUAUGUAGGAACACCAGUGGCGAAGGCGACUUGCUGGGUCGUUACUGACAUUGAGGCACGAAAGCGUGGGGAGCAAACAGGAUUAGAUACCCCUGUAGUC